UGGGGAAUUUUGCACAAUGGGGGAAACCCUGAUGCAGCGACGCCGCGUGAUUUAGACGGCCUUCGGGUUGUAAAAAUCUUUUCUAUGGGAAGAAAAUGACAGUACCAUAGGAAUAAGGACCGGCUAAUUACGUGCCAGCAGCCGCGGUAAUACGUAAGGUCCGAGCGUUGUCCGGAAUCAUUGGGCGUAAAGGGUACGUAGGCGGGUAAGCAAGUUAGAAGUGAAAUCCUAUAGCUCAACUAUAGUAAGCUUUUAAAACUGCUCAUCUUGAGGUAUGGAAGGGAAAGUGGAAUUCCUAGUGUAGCGGUGAAAUGCGCAGAUAUUAGGAGGAAUACCGGUGGCGAAGGCGACUUUCUGGCCAAAACCUGACGCUGAGGUACGAAAGCGUGGGUAGCAAACAGG
rnacentral:rRNA from 1 species